UACUGUUACUGAGUCCAGGGUCCCGCUUC
rnacentral:piRNA from 1 species